rnacentral:rRNA from 1 species
UACAGAGGUGGCAAGCGUUGUUCGGAAUUACUGGGCGUAAAGGGCGCGUAGGCGGUUUGUUAAGUCCUGUGUGAAAUCCCCCGGCUCAACUGGGGAACGGCACAGGAAACUGGCGGGCUUGAGUUCGGGAGAGGGAAGCGGAAUUCCGGGUGUAGCGGUGAAAUGCGUAGAUAUCCGGAGGAACACCGGUGGCGAAGGCGGCUUCCUGGACCGACACUGACGCUGAGGCGCGAAAGCUAGGGGAGCAAACGGG